rnacentral:rRNA from 1 species
UACGGGGGGGCAAGCGUUGUUCGGAAUUACUGGCGUAAAGGGCUGGUAGGCGGCCAACUAAGUCCGACGUGAAAUCCCAAGGCUUAACCUUGGAACUGCGUCGGAUACUGGAUGGCUUGAAUUCGGGAGAGGGAUGCGGAAUUCCAGGUGUAGCGGUGAAAUGCGUAGAUAUCUGGAGGAACACCGGUGGCGAAGGCGGCAUCCUGGACCGAGAUUGACGCUGAACAGCGAAAGCUAGGGGAGCAAACGGG